rnacentral:rRNA from 1 species
GAUGAACGCUAGCGGCAGGCCUAACACAUGCAAGUCGAGGGGCAGCACGUCUUCGGAUGGUGGCGACCGGCGCACGGGUGCGUAACGCGUAUGCAACCUACCUCUUACAGUGGGAUAGCCCAGAGAAAUUUGGAUUAAUACCGCAUAGUAUACAGAUUCAGCAUUGGGACUGUAUUAAACAUUUAUGGGUAAGAGAUGGGCAUGCGUUCUAUUAGUUAGUUGGAGUGGUAACGGCACCCCAGACAGCGAUAGAUAGGGCCGUCAGAGGGGAGGUCCCCACCACUGGUACGUGAGACACGG